rnacentral:rRNA from 1 species
GAAGAACGCUGGCGGCGUGCCUAACACAUGCAAGUCGAGCGAACCCUUCGGGGUGAGCGGCGGACGGGUGAGUAACGCGUGGGUAACCUGCCCUGUACACACGGAUAACAUACCGAAAGGUAUGCUAAUACGAGAUAAUAUAUUUUAAUCGCAUGGUUAAGAUAUCAAAGCUGCGGCGGUACAGGAUGGACCCGCGUCUGAGUAGCUCGUUGGUGAGGUAAUGGCUCACCAAGGCGACGAUCAGUAGCCGACCUGAGAGGGUGAUCGGCCACACUGGAACUGAGACACGGUCCAGACUCCUACGGGAGGCAGCAGUGGGAAUAUUGCACAAUGGGCGAAAGCCUGAUGCAGCAACGCCGCGUGAGCGAUGAAGGCCUUCGGGUCGUAAAGCUCUGUCCUCAAGGAAGAUAAUGACGGCACUUGAGGAGGAAGCCCCGGCUAACUACGUGCCAGCAGCCGCAGUAA